rnacentral:snoRNA from 1 species
AAACAUAUGACGAAUUAACUCGGAUUCCUCUUCAAGAUAUUUUAUGUGAUGUAAGCUUGAGUUUCUGAUGUA